CUGAGGGGGGCUGCUCCUAGUACGAGAGGACCGGAGUGGACGCAUCACUGGUGUUCGGGUUGUCAUGCCAAUGGCACUGCCCGGUAGCUAAAUGCGGAAGAGAUAAGUGCUGAAAGCAUCUAAGCACGAAACUUGCCCCGAGAUGAGUUCUCCCUGAGACUUUAGGUCUCCUGAAGGAACGUUGAAGACGACGACGUUGAUAGGCCGGGUGUGUAAGCGCAGCGAUGCGUUGAGCUAACCGGUACUAAUGAACCGUGAGGCUUAACCUUACAACGCCGAAG
rnacentral:rRNA from 2 species